rnacentral:rRNA from 1 species
CAAUAGCGUAUAUUAAAGUUGUUGCAGUUAAAAAGCUCGUAGUUGAAUUUUUGCUUGCCGCCGAUGUCGGAACUUCCGUACGUUCGGCGGCGUGCAUCCUUGGGUGGAACCUGUGUGGCAUUAGGUUGUCGUGCAGGGGAUGCUCAUCGUUUACUGUGAAAAAAUUAGAGUGUUCAAAGCAGGCUUACGCCGUUGAAUAUAUUAGCAUGGAAUAAUAAGAUAGGACCUUGGUACUAUUUUGUUGGUUUGCGCACCGAGGUAAUGAUUAACAGGGACAGUUGGGGGUAUUCGUAUUCCAUUGUCAGAGGUGAAAUUCUUGGAUUUCUGGAAGACAAACUACUGCGAAAGCAUUUACCAAGGAUGUUUUCAUUAA